AAGUACAGGAGAAUCAAGAGUUUCCAAUUGUAAAAGCACUACACAAAGACAAGCUCAGACACUACCGGCAGGCUAGUGAGAUGGCUUUGCAGGGAAGAAGGACCUCAGUGAUUCCUGGAGUCUUUGUGAGAGAAAGAGAGCGAGCGAGUGAGCGAGCGAGCGGACUCCAACAGUCAGCAUUCUGACCACCACACUUGUCUUGUGGCAUGUGAACACCCACCCAUGAUACAUACAUACUAAAUGAAAAGCAGUGAAUCACUGGCAGGGGCUUGAGUGUGGCAAAAGAAGAGAGUGCAUAUAGAAGAGAGUGGCUGUCAUCAGAGCCCGGAAAGCUUUCAAGGUCAGAAAAGUAUGAAAUGACAAAGUGUUCGAAGAAAAAUAAGCUUGUAGCCAAGAAUACCCCAGCAAAGCUAUCCUUCAAUAUAUAUGCAUACAUACAUACAUAUAUAUAUACACACACACAUAUGUAUAUGUAUAUAUACACACAUAAUGUAUAUAUACACAUAUAUGUAUAUAUAGACAUAUGUAGCGCGCACACACACACACAUAUAUAAUCACAAAUGGAAUUUUCAAGCUGAAAGUUAAUAACCAAACAUGAAAAUAAAGUUGGUGGUAUAGGUAAGUAGUCAAGUCAGAAGACUGAUAGACUUGAGUGCUCUGUAAUAGUGAUGUAUAAAUAACUUAAGUCUUUACUGUGAAGGCUAAAAGAAGUGAUUUUAAUAUGAGUUUUUAGUGGUUACCGAAUGAAAAAGUGUAAUAGUGAUAGCAAGUCAUGAAAUGGGAGAGGAGUGAAAGUAGAGAGUUUUUGUAUGCAAUUUGAGGUUAUUUCUAUGGGUUAGGUAGAAUUUGACUAUGUUCCCCAAAGAAUGUGUGUUCCGAGUGUAGCAGCUGAGAGAAUGUGCGAGCUUUGAGAGGGAUCUUACAAGGAGGCCACUGUGAUGAUGCCCUAAGGUGGUUCUUAUGUAGGUUGCUGUAAAAUGGUAAGAGUGGCCCCCCAUUUUUUUCUCUGGCUUUGAAUCUCACCAAAUGAUACCUGACUUCAUCACUUCCAUAAUGAUGCCAUUUGGCAUAAUAUAGCCAGGAAUUCUUCACCAGAAGGCAGACAGAAAGGGGUUGCACUGACUGGGCUGUCAGUCUUUGACUUUCAUCCAAACCAUCAGCUAAAUAGAUCUCUUUUCUUUACAGGGUACCAAGUGUCAGCUACUUCACUACAGUAUAUUUGCUGCCAGUUUAAAGUAGACUCAUAGCUGAAUUGUUUUCAUGUCUCAUAGUUACCACAUAUUAUUUAUUAUACCAAUAUAUAAUAUCAUGUUAACUGCAGAAAGGAGUAAGUAAUCAAAGCAUAACAAAAUCACUAGGUCUUGAAGAAGGAACAAAUAGACUACAUUUUAAAAAUAGCAAUAAUAAAAGUAGCACUAAGAAAUCUGUACCUAUUAAUAGUUAAUUCAGUAUCUUGAAUGAAAAGAUAAAAUUCUUAAGAAUUGCUGAGUGGAUUGGGGAAAAACAAAGGCCCAAUUAUAUGUUCUCCAGUAGGAUAUUUCUGCUUUAACAGGAGACAAAGUACAGGGAAUUAAAAAUAAAAAGAUAUUCCAUGCAUAUAGAAACAAAAAGAGAACAGGAGUUAGGUAUACUUAGAGCAGGAAAAUCCAGAUAAAUGAAACACUGUAAAACAAAGUAGGUUAUUAUAAUUGGUAAAUAGUUUAUCAAGAGAUCUAAGAUUAUAAAUAUACAUAUACCCAACAUUGUGGUAAGUAAUUUAGAAGGAGAAAAAAUGAGACUGGAGCUCCCUAUGUAGCCCAAGCUGGUGUGGAACUUAGUGUACAGCUGACAUCAUAUUCAGUAUCCCCCUGCAUUUAUCUCCUAAGUGCUGGGAUUGCUGGUGUGCACUUCCAUACCUGUGCUUAUGAAACAGAUUUGAAUAUAUCUGACAAGACAUACUAACUCAGUAACAAAUAGGUUUUCGUAAGUCACAUUCAGCAAUAGGUAAACCACUCAAUAGGCUAUCUAAAACCCAACACUGGACUUGGGCUACUCUUUGGAUCAAAUGGGCCUAACAUAUAGGGCAUCUAUCCAAUAGCAGUAGAAUAUAGAUUAUUUUGAGGUACUCAUAUAACAUUUGUUAGAACACAUUAUAGGUAGGACACAGAAUAAAUCUUAACAAAUUAAAGAUUGAAAUUAUAUCUGUAGGGCCAGUGAGAUGGCUUUACUGGGUAAGAGUGCUUGCCAUGCAAGCCUCACAUGAGUUCAGUCUCUCGAACUCACAGUGAGGAAGAGAACAGAUUCCUGCCUUCUGCACAUUGUCUUGGGUCUCCACUUCUGUACAUGGCAUGCAUAUGCCCGAAGUCACACUUUUGUAGUACAAAAGAAUAAUAAAAACCAACCAAACAACAAAUUUGCAUCAGGAAACUUUUACAUUUAAAAAUGAAACUAAAAAUGAGUAAAAAGUUUGGGAAAAUUAACAAAUAGAAAUUAAAGAGUUUUUCAGAAAAGCCAAUGGAUCAAUGAAUAAAGAGAAAGUAUAAAAUAAUCUCAAGAGAAGUUCAAGUGGAAAACAACAUUAUCAAAACACAAUGUAGCAAAAGCUGUUAUUAAUAAGGAAGUGUAUAGGAAAACCUACAUAAUAAGAACUAUGUGAAAUAGUGUUACGAGUAAGG
rnacentral:lncRNA from 1 species